rnacentral:rRNA from 1 species
AUUCCUAGAGAUAGGAAGUUCCUUCGGGACACGGGAUACAGGUGGUGCAUGGUUGUCGUCAGCUCGUGUCGUGAGAUGUUGGGUUAAGUCCCGCAACGAGCGCAACCCUUAUUGUUAGUUGCCAUCAUUAAGUUGGGCACUCUAGCGAGACUGCCGGUAAUAAACCGGAGGAAGGUGGGGAUGACGUCAAAUCAUCAUGCCCCUUAUGACCUGGGCUACACACGUGCUACAAUGGUUGGUACAACGAGUCGCAAGACAGUGAUGUCAAGCUAAUCUCUUAAAGCCAAUCUCAGUUCGGAUUGUAGGCUGCAACUCGCCUACAUGAAGUCGGAAUCGCUAGUAAUCGCGGAUCAGCACGCCGCGGUGAAUACGUUCCCGGGCCUUGUACACACCGCCCGUCACACCACGAGAGUUUGUAAUACCCAAAGCCGGUGAGCUAACCUUUUAGGAGGCAGCCGUCUAAGGUAGGAUAGAUGAUUGGGGUGAAGUC